AUUGAACGCUGGCGGCAGGCCUAACACAUGCAAGUCGAACGAGUGGCGGACGGGUGAGUAAUGUCUGGGAAACUGCCUGAUGGAGGGGGAUAACUACUGGAAACGGUAGCUAAUACCGCAUACCAUCGGAUGUGCCCAGAUGGGAUUAGCUAGUAGGUGGGGUAAAGGCUCACCAAGGCGACGAUCCCUAGCUGGUCUGAGAGGGUGACCGGCCCCACUGGAACGGGGAACGGGCCCAGACUCCUACGGGAGCGAGCGUGGGGGAAUAUUGCAAAAUGGGCGCAGUCCUGAUGAAGCCAUGCCGCGUGGAUGAAGAAGGCCUUCGGGUGUUAAAGUACUUUCAGCGGGGAGGCGUUACCCGCAUAAGAAGCACCGGCUAACUCCGUGCCAGCAGCCGCGGUAAUAC
rnacentral:rRNA from 1 species